UCCGGUUGAUCCUGCCGGAGGUCACCGCUAUUGGAAUUCGCUUAAGCCAUGCGAGUUUAAAGGACUUCGGUCCUUGGCUGACGGCUCAGUAACACGCGGAUAAUCUGCCCUUGGGUGGGGGAUAAGCUCGGGAAACUGAGUAUAAUACCCCAUAGGUCUAGAAUGCUGGAAUGCAUCUAGGCUCAAAGUUCCGGCGCCCAAGGAUGAGUCUGCGGCCUAUCAGGUUGUAGUGGGUGUAAAGUACCUACUAGCCUACGACGGGUACGGGCCUUGAGAGAGGUUGCCCGGAGAUGGAAUCUGAGACACGAUUCCAGGCCCUACGGGGCGCAGCAGGCGCGAAAACUUCGCAAUGUGGGAAACCACGACGAGGGAAUUCCAAGUGCAUGCACAUUGUGUAUGCUGUUCAAUUGCCUAAAAAGCAUAUGAAGUAAGGGCUGGGUAAGACGGGUGCCAGCCGCCGCGGUAAUACCCGCAGCCCGAGUGGUGAUCGUUAUUAUUGAGCCUAAAGCGUCCGUAGCUGGUCUGUUAAAUCCUUGGGUAAAUCGGGUAGCUCAACUAUUCGAAUUCCGAGAAGACUGACAGACUUGGGACUGGGAGAGGUCAGAGGUACUCCAGGGGUAGGGGCUAAAUCCUGUAAUCCUUGGGGGACCACCAGUGGCGAAGGCGUCUGACUAGAACAGAUCCGACAGUAAGGGACGAAGCCCUGGGUCGCAAACCGGAUUAGAUACCCGGGUAGUCCAGGGUGUAACCGCUGCAGACUUGGUGUUGGGGACCCUACGAGGGUGCCCAGUGCCGGAGAGAAGUUGUUAAGUCUGCCGCUUGGGGAGUACGCUCGCAAGAGUGAAACUUAAAGGAAUUGGCGGGGGAGCACUGCAACGGGAGGAGAGUGCGGUUCAAUUGGAUUCAACGCCGGAAAACUCACCGGAAGCGGCGGUUACAUGAAGGCCAAGCUGAUGACUUUGCCUGAUUUUCCGAGAGGUGGUGCAUGGCCGCCGUCAGUUCGUACCAAGGCGUUCUGUUAAGUCAGAUAACGAACAAGACCCUCACUUUUAAUUGCCACCCAUUCCCCCGGGAAUGGAGCACAUUAAAGGAACCGCUGGCGCUAAGUCAGAGGAAGGUGAGGUCAACGGUAGGUCAGUAUGCCCCGAAUCUUCCGGGCUACACGCGCUCUACAAAGGAAUGGACAAUGGGAUUCGACACCGAGAGGUGAAGGUAAGCCCGAAACCAUUUCGUAGUUCGGACUGAGGGCUGUAAUUCGCCUCACGAAGAUGGAUUCCGUACUAAUCGCGAAUCAACAUCUCGCGGUGAAUAUGCCCCUGCUCCUUGCACACACCGCCCGUCAAACCAUCUGAGUUGGGUUUGGAUGAGGGCAUCUCUUUCUGGGGUGUUCGAAUCCAGGUUCAGCAAGGAGGGUUAAGUCGUAACAAGGUA
rnacentral:rRNA from 1 species